AGCAGCCGCGGUAAUUCCAGCUCCAAUAGCGUAUAUUAAAGUUGUUGCAGUUAAAAAGCUCGUAGUUGAAUUUCGAGACCGGCUUACUGGUCGUGCUAUUGUACGUACUGGUAUAAUCGGUUUCUCCUUUCUGGCGAACUAUAAUGCCAUUAAUUUGGUGUUUUAGGGAAUCAGGACUGUUACUUUGAAAAAAUUAGAGUGUUUAAAGCAGGCUCACGCUUGAAUACAUUAGCAUGGAAUAACGGAAUAGGACGUUUGAUUCUAUUUUGUUGGUUUCUAGGAUCGACGUAAUGAUUAAUAGGGAUAGUUGGGGGCAUUAGUAUUCAAUUGUCAGAGGUGAAAUUCUUGGAUUUAUUGAAGACUAACUACUGCGAAAGCACUUGCCAAGGAUGUUUUCAUUAAUCAAGAACGAAAGUUAGGGGAUCGAAGACGAUCAGAUACCGUCGUAGUCUUAACCAUAAACUAUGCCGACUAGGGAUCGGAUGAUGUUAAUUUUUAAUGACUCAUUCGGCGCCUUACG
rnacentral:rRNA from 1 species